GGCCUAUUAGCUCAGCUGGUCAGAGCGUGGUGCUAAUAACGCCAAGGUCGCAGGUUCGAGACCUGCAUGGGCCA
rfam:Selaginella moellendorffii unplaced genomic scaffold SELMOscaffold_41, whole genome shotgun sequence.